rnacentral:lncRNA from 1 species
CUGUGGGGCCGCCAAUGUCCUUAAUCCCCAGGCCUCCCCACUCAUGUCAUUGCCAGUGCCUUGGCCUCUCAAAGCUGCGUGGGUUGUGCUGGAAGUGGCCCUUAAGGGACACAAGAUUGGGUGGAACAGAAGGCAAUGAGGAGGAAAUGGGAUUUAUUUGGCUCUCACUGGCCAGGAGCUACACUGUUUACCUACAGGGAUGGGAAGGGGUGUAAGACUUCUAAACAAACCUCUUCCUAUAGCUUUGACUUUUGCAUCAUGUAAAUGUUUCCUAUAUUUAAAAAAAAAUAAACCAACAGUGAUGGGAAAAAACCAUAAAAUUGAAGAUGGUUGUGAAGAGUGGUAGCAGGUGCUGCAAUGCUAGAGUUAUUUUACGUGUGCCAAGGAACGGCAGAGACAGAAACAACCUGGGCGGGGACCUCCACCCAGGCGAUCCGCAUUGCUGGCUUCUAAGUCAGUGGGUGAGAAGCUUUUAAAGAAAAUGUUCCUAGGAGAUCUCAAAGAAUCACACAUAGAUGACUCCAAGGAAAAAGGGCCUGUCGCAAUGAGAAACAUCGAAUUAAGGUCUUACCUUAACUCAAUGACCAGCCUAAAAGUCACCAAGAAUGGGACAGACUGACCAAAUGUUCUGAGAGGACACGUCAUCCCUGUAGUAAUAUUGCCAAAAAUGUUUAACGUGAACCUAACCACGAGGAAGCAAUCAGGUCCAAAUUCAGGGACAUUCUGCAAAACUACUGGCCUGUGCUAUUCAAGAAAGGCAAUAAUAUGAAAGGCGGCCACGAGGGAGGGAGAAAAGGCCAAGGAGCCGCUCUUGAUGGAGGGAGACUAAACGCAAUGGUGGUACCAGCCUGAGUGGGUCCGGAAAUGAUCAGGCAAACCAGAAAGGCUGCAAAGGACAUCACUGGCACAAUGGGUAAAACAGGACUGCAUCAAUGUUCAAUUUCUGGCCUGUGUUAAGCGUACUGUAGUCAUAAAGGAGAAUUAGCCAAUUUUUGGAGGUAUGUGUGAGGCAUUUAGGGAUAAAUGCAUACA